rnacentral:tRNA from 1 species
GACAGUUUGGCCGAGUGGUUAAGGCGGCAGACUCGAAUUGACCUGCAUCUUCGUAGGUUAGCCCGUCAUCUGCUGGGUUCGCCCGCACAGGUUCAAAUCCUGUAGCUGUCG